AGCUAUUACCUAAUAAAGUAAAAAGUUAGAAAGGAAUACACCAGAACAGUGAAAGGAAAAAAUCAGAAGCAUGGUUAAAUUCAUGUAAGCUUACUAUUCAAAUAUUGUGGAAGUGCUUGUAGUAACCCAGCUUUAUAUGAUCACAAAAUAGGUAUCUGGAAAUGAGAGCCACAGUGAGCUGACUUCCUUUAUAGAAAAGAAAAAAAAGAAAGAGGAACUUUUGGGUUAUGGUUCAUUUAGCUUGGUUUAGAUAUCUACUUUAGAAUAAGAAGAAUUGUGCCCUUGACUCCAGUAAGUAUAUUGACCACAUCUUUAUGGAUGGUAUAGGUAGACAGAUUAGGAUCUCAAACAUAGAUUUAGAUCUCAAAAUCCACAGAGUGAAAUUUAUAUUCUCAUUUGUAACUUGAAGGCAAGAAGAAAAAAAGGAAAUAGUAAAAUAUAUUUCCAUCGGACAUAUCUUAUUAAAAGUAUUUCUCCAAAAAAGAGAAUUACAUUCUCUUUAUAUAGACAUAUUUAUAUAUAUGUGUGUGUAUGUAUAUGUAUAUCCAAUAAUAGGCAUUCAAAAAUUUGCAACAAGAAAUUUAAAGUUGUGUGUCUUUCCUUGUUAAUUUUCCAAUUAUAUGAUCUGAUGAGAACUGCGAUAACGUGAUGAGUCAGAAGCAGCAGAGAGCUGGCUAAUGAAGACACUGAAUGCAUCUUCAAACUUACUGAUCUUUUCUUCAGUGGAAGUGAGUUGAAGUGUAAUGUCAGGAUAGAGGCAUGGGGAAGAAGAAUCAGUUAAGGAUAAGAGAAUGAAGACAUAUGUCUCUAACUGAGAAACCUCAUGUUGAAGAGCUCACAUCAAGGGGAGACAAGUUAUUCCCUUGCUGCACUGUUGGGUCCCUCCCAUGGAAGACGGGUCUCCAUUAACUUCUCCAGCAUGGAUCCAUCUCAAGAGCUACAGCUCUCCACGAACUGCUGCAGUGUGGAUCACUCUUCCAUAGGGUGCAGUCUUUCAAGGACAGGCUGUUCCAUUAGGGGAGCAGACGCCCUCUCUCCCGUGGGCUCACAACCUCCUCCAGGCAUCCAGUCACUCCAUCGUCAGCUCCUGCUCCAUGGGCUGGGGGUGAAUCUCUGCAUCCCCACGGACCUCCUCCGCCUACAGGGGCACAGCUGCUUCACCAUGGGCUGCACCAGGAGCUGCAGAGGGAUCUCAGCUCCAGGGACUGGGGCACUUCCUUUCCCCCUUUUCCCCCUGACCUUUGUGCCUGCAUGGUUGUUAGAUUCCCAUGUUCUUGCUCUGCUCUUCUCUAGUCACAAUUACAGCUGCACAAACACUUUUUGUUUAGAUUUCUUCUAAAAUGUGUUAUCACAGAGGCAUUGCCACCAUGUCUAAUUGACAUUUCUGCCUAUGGAACCACCAGGGAUUGGCUGUGCUGGACACUGAGGAAGCUUCUAGUAACUUCUCAUGGGAGCCAUCCCUGUAACUGCCCCGUUACCAAAAACCAAAGCCACGCAAACCCAAUACAUCAGGAUAUAAAGUCACUUUAAUAAAUGACAUAUGUUUUGGAACUUGGGUAGUAAUGUCACCUUUAAUGAAAUACAAAUGCUACUGAAAACACAUACUGUAAUCAUAGAAUCAUUUUCUUACUGUUUGGUCUGACUCAAGUGAAGCAUCAAAGUCAAGACAAUUUGACAGUAACCAGAUACCAGUUUAUAGCCACCAUUCAUGAAUUGAUUGACUUGGAAUUUCUAGGUGAAGGAUUCUGUGUCCAGGUUUCAUUUAUGAUUAUCUUGAUGGUUGGAUAAAAAUGUGGUGUUAAUCUCUCUGGAAUUUAUUCACUUCCAUAUUUAGAUAAAUGUUCAUAUACUAGAUCUUUGGAACGAAUGAGAUUGCCCUGUAAACUGAAAAUUUAUACUUCUGUCUAGCAAUCACAAAUGAUAAUAUUACAAGGAAAAAAUCAAAAAGAUGUUAAAAAUCUUCUCUUCAAUACAGUUCCUCUAAACACUCAAGGGAAAGAUUAUUAUUUUAAUUUUCUGGGAAUAGAGUAUAAUCUAGAAAGCAAUUUUUAGUAAGUCUCUUGGCUCACAUUAGAUGUAGAACAAAUGUUAUUUUAAACAUAAUCUGCAACACUUAAUUGCAAGUCCCUGUUCUGCCAGAUAUUUAACCUUUUUUACAUUUAUUAACAUUGUUCCUGAGAGGUCUCUACAACCUGCAAUCUCUUCAUUAUUCCAUUAUCUAAAAGGAAAUCAGUAACACAAGUUUUGAUUAUUUUCUUUUAAAUAUUAUGAAAUAUUUUACAAGAAUAUAGGGAAGCAAAUGGGGAAUAUUACCUAACAAUUCUGAUACAUUUUGAAAAAGGAUGUGUUAAAGAAAAUGAGCUUGUAAAGAAUUCUGUUUUGAUGGGAUGUCAUAAUAACAUUUCUUAAAUGGUUCUCUUUCUUUUUCUCUCUCUCUUGUUCAGUUGUACUUAUUUUUAAUUAAUUAGAGGGGAGAAAAUUCUACCAGAGCUUUAAUAUUAAAAUUAAGUAUUUAUAAUCUGGUAAUGUCCUCAGGCAGAUCCAUCUGUAGGUCCUAUUACCUGGUAUUUAAAUAAUACCUGAAAAAUAUGGAUGCAGGAUUUAAUUUAUACAUAUCAAAAAACAUUCAUUGAGCUAAAAAGGAUACUAAUAAAUCUCAUCUUUCUGAGUGUGGGACCAAAGAUUGUCUUAUUGAUUUCUACUUAACAGAAUCAAUCAUACUUUCAAGAGAUUCCCCAACAUUCCUUUUGGAUGCAUAGAUAAAUUCAGGAAUCCUGACUGUGUAAUUAAACUGUGUAUAUCAAUACCUUUUCUUUAAAGUGUUGAUACUAAAAAUACUGAAAGGACUCUGGACUGCUGACAUUACAUUUUUUUUGAAGGAUAUACUACAAUACAAUGACUUCUGUGGAACGGAAGCUCAGAUCAAGUUGGUCAGAUCAAAUAAAAAUGAAAAGAGUAUUAGAAGUCCUCACUGCUCACUGUUUCAUCUCAGAGGUAGGUCUUUUCUUUCACCUCACUCUUGCUCUGAAUACAGCAAUGUUGAGUGUCUUGCUGAGUAAUGAAUAAUUCCAAGCAGUGCACUGGAGACCUCUGGAAACUGCCUGUGUAUUGGCUCUUUCUCUUUAUAGUGUCUCUGCUUCCCUUCUUGGUGUGGAGACUUCUGAGUCCUCCCAUUCUGCUUCCUUCCCUCAGGAGAGGGCUGCUGCUCCAAAAAACUGUGUAUUGAUCCAAUAUAUGACAGCCAGCAGUUAGCAAGUGCAUGACCCCACUCCCUCUGGCUGAGUUGCACCUUCCAGCAAAACACAGUUAUGGCACAAGAGAAAACACAGCAAAAAAAAGAUAUGUUAUUUUUCAUUCUUAAUGUGAGAUAAUUUGUGUGUAUAUCAACAUUUUUCAGUGCAUGCAUUAAAUUUGUCACCAAUGGAAAUUUUCUCUGUCUCCUGACAAGACCAUCUCUCUCCUCAAACCUCAAAUUGAGAAGCACAAACAGUGUUUUAAAAGAACUGAUCACUGUGCUUGCAUUGGAGGUAUUCUUAAUGUAACAUAAAAUCUGAUCAUAAUAAUAGGAUAUGAACUUAGAAUAGAUUAUUAUUUUAAAAUUGUAACUUGGAAAAAAAAUUCUUGAACUUCACUUUUCAAAAGCCCCAGCUUUUUAAAAUAUAAAGUCAUUUGUGUUUCCUCGAGGAAAUGACA